rnacentral:rRNA from 1 species
UACGUAGGGUGCAAGCGUUGUCCGGAAUUACUGGGCGUAAAGGGCGCGUAGGCGGCAUGGCAAGUCAGGAGUGAAAGGCCUGGGCUCAACCGAGGAACUGCUUUUGAUACUGCCAAGCUAGAGUGCGGAAGGGGCAACUGGAAUUCCCAGUGUAGCGGUGAAAUGCGUAGAUAUUGGGAAGAACACCAGUGGCGAAGGCGGCUCACUGGCCCGGUACUGACGCUGAGGUGCGAAAGCGUGGGGAGCAAACAGG